rnacentral:rRNA from 1 species
GUAGGUGAACCUGCGGAAGGAUCAUUACCGAGUGUAGGGUUCCUAGCGAGCCCAACCUCCCACCCGUGUUUACUGUACCUUAGUUGCUUCGGCGGGCCCGCCAUUCAUGGCCGCCGGGGGCUCUCAGCCCCGGGCCCGCGCCCGCCGGAGACACCACGAACUCUGUCUGAUCUAGUGAAGUCUGAGUUGAUUGUAUCGCAAUCAGUUAAAACUUUCAACAAUGGAUCUCUUGGUUCCGGCAUCGAUGAAGAACGCAGCGAAAUGCGAUAACUAGUGUGAAUUGCAGAAUUCCGUGAAUCAUCGAGUCUUUGAACGCACAUUGCGCCCCCUGGUAUUCCGGGGGGCAUGCCUGUCCGAGCGUCAUUGCUGCCCAUCAAGCACGGCUUGUGUGUUGGGUCGUCGUCCCCUCUCCGGGGGGGACGGGCCCCAAAGGCAGCGGCGGCACCGCGUCCGAUCCUCGAGCGUAUGGGGCUUUGUCACCCGCUCUGUAGGCCCGGCCGGCGCUUGCCGAACGCAAAUCAAUCUUUUCCAGGUGACCUCGGAUCAG